CCUACGGGAGGCAGCAGUGGGGAAUAUUGGACAAUGGGCGCAAGCCUGAUCCAGCAAUGCCGCGUGAGUGAUGAAGGCCUUAGGGUCGUAAAGCUCUUUUACCAGGGAUGAUAAUGACAGUACCUGGAGAAUAAGCUCCGGCUAACUCCGUGCCAGCAGCCGCGGUAAUACGGAGGGAGCUAGCGUUGUUCGGAAUUACUGGGCGUAAAGCGUACGUAGGCGGUUAUUCAAGUCAGAGGUGAAAGCCCGGGGCUCAACCCCGGAACGGCCUUUGAAACUAGGUAGCUAGAAUCUUGGAGAGGUCAGUGGAAUUCCGAGUGUAGAGGUGAAAUUCGUAGAUAUUCGGAAGAACACCAGUGGCGAAGGCGACUGACUGGACAAGUAUUGACGCUGAGGUACGAAAGCGUGGGGAGCAAACAGGAUUAGAUACCCUGGUAGUCCACGCCGUAAACGAUGAUAACUAGCUGUUCGGGCACUUGGUGCUUGAGUGGCGCAGCUACGCAUUAAGUUAUUCCGUCCGUCGGGUAGGUACGGUCGCGAGAUUAAACUUAAAACGGUAAAGUUAGUACGGCGUGAGACGUGCCGACGGACGACGACGAGGGAGUAGG
rnacentral:rRNA from 1 species